GAUUUGAAAAGUUUCUUUUUGAGACCAGAAUUAACACAAAUCUGAUAGCAGAUACAUAUUGAUGAAGCAAAACCUUUAUAUUAAAAUAUCAAGUAUAAAGAACACAAUCUAAAGGAUUCCAUUCAAAUCUUAAAUAAACUGAUUUGCAUCAGCAGCUCCAUGCUCCAGCGCUCUGGGAGAGUUUAUAGUCCUGACAGUUGAACUCUGGAUGACUGACAGCUGUCCUUCAUCACAACAGAAGACACAGAAAUCCUCCUCAUCAAAAACAUGACUUUGAUCUGCGUCCUCAUCUGGACUCUCCUCUGCUUCACUCAGGGAUCUGAUGGACAAAAUAUUGUUGUGACUCAAUCAGCAGCCAAAUCAGUGCAGAUUGGUCAGACUGUCAUUAUUGACUGUAAGGCCAGUAGACAAGUAUAUCAGUACUCUGGUCCGCAGUACUACCUUUCCUGGUACCAUCAGAAAACUGGAGAAGCUCCAAAAGCUCUGAUCUACUGGACAUCAGACAGAUUUUCAGGAAUCUCCUCCAGAUUCAGUGGAAGUGGAGCAGGAAAUGGAUUAGACUUCACUCUGACCAUCAGUGGAGUUCAGGCUGAAGAUGCAGGAGUUUAUUACUGUCAGAGUUAUCAUUACAUCAACAGUCAGUGGGUGUUCACACAGUGAAAAAUCAUCGUACAAAAACCUCCCUCAGUCUGACUGAACAGAAACUGAACUUUGUUCUGCAGCUGGAAUCUGCAUCAGACACUGAUACAGUUCACUGAACACAUCAGGCCAGAAAUUAUAUUUCCAUUAAACACAAGAACACAUUCAGUUAUGAUAUUAAGACAUUAUAUUUUAAAAUAUUAUUUCAUGAUUAUUUUUAGAUGUUUGACACCUUAUUCUCCAAUUAAGUAAUGAAGUAACUUUGACUUUAGAAAGGUUUAAAAAUAUUUUCCAUGUUUUAUUUUUAAACAAUCAUACAUGAAGUCAAGGAAAACCAUUGGUAAUAACACCAAAAUAUAUUUUAAUGAUUGUUAAACACAUUACAGGAUUUAUUCUCAUAAGCACAUGUAGGAAGACAGGAAAAACAAUCCAGGAGGUUCUUUAAUGUUAGCUUAGCCUUGUUUAAAAUGAUUUGCUAAGUUUGCCAUUACUGUUGGAAAAUAAUUCAUAUCUAAAUCAAUAUUAAUGCUUGAUCCUGCAUUUAGUUUUUAGAACCUGGAAGGUACUGCCAGAUUAUUUCCACAAACAGAAAUACAACAAGCUGAGAUGUGGUGUCAUUUCUUGUUCUGCAAAUUAACAAAUAGAGACAUAAACAGUUUGUCAGGUAUGGAUGAAAGGAAAAUAUGAAAACAUUUUCUCUGAAUUAUCAAAUGAGAACAAGUAUGUGACAUUAGUGAGGUCUGUCAGCAAGAACAUUUUUUUUCUAAAAGUAAAAAUU